rnacentral:rRNA from 1 species
CCAGAGGCCAUUGCUAUCAGGGUUUGACUAAGCCAUGCGAGUCGAGAGGUGUAAGACCUCGGCAUACUGCUCAGUAACACGUGGUUAACCUGCCCUAAGGUGGAGAAUACUCCCGGGAAACUGGGGCUAAUGCUCCAUAGUGGAUAUGUCCUGGAAUGGUAUAUCCUCGAAAGAUCCGUCGCCUUAGGAUGGGACUGCGUCCGAUUAGGUUGUUGGCGGGGUAACGGCCCACCAAGCCUUUUAUCGGUACGGGUUGUGGGAGCAAGAUCCCGGAGAUGGAUUCUGAGACAUGAAUCCAGGCCCUACGGGGCGCAGCAGGCGCGCAAACUUUACAAUGCGAGCAAUCGUGAUAAGGAAACCCUGAGUGCCUGUCGAUGCAGGCUGUUCAUAUAUCUAAAUCAUAUGUGAAGAAAGGGCAGGGCAAGACCGGUGCCAGCCGCCGCGGUAAUACCGGCUGCUCGAGUGAUGGCCACUAUUACUGGGUUUAAAGCGUCCGUAGCUUGACUGUUAGGUCUCUUGGGAAAUCUUCGCGCUCAACGUGAAGGCGUCUAAGAGAUACCGGCAGUCUUGGAACUGGGAGAGGUAAACCGUACUUCGGGGGGUAGGAGUGAAAUCUUGUAAUCCUCGAGGGACGACCUAUGGCGAAGGCAG